UUUUACUUGAAGAAAGAUAUUAAUCUCCCUAUACACCAUUCCAGGUCUAAAUCCAAGAGCACAACCAUCGACCUUGUCUGCUCCAUAUAUUAGGGUUUUGUUACUUCACCAUUCCAUGGUUUUAGUCAAACAUGGUAUGGAACAAAUAUCUGAAACAUACGAUGGCAUUCCCAUGCCCUCAAAGGAGCAAGAGGUAUAUACUUAACACAUUAUAUUUUAAUCAAUCAUAUUUCCUUUUUAUAUAUCUAUCUUACAUUCAAAAUUGGUUUUCAGAUUAAAUCUUCAACAUUUUUUUAGAAAAACAGUGUUAUAUGUUCUUUUAAUGGUAUUGGUACUUUUAAUGGUACCAUACCCACUAAAGAUACCCAUGUUUGGUUUUGACUUUAGCUUAAUUUCGGUGGUUGUCUGCGCUAUGCAGUACAGUAUCGGUACUUUUAACGGUACGGUACCGGUACUUUUGACGGUAUGGUACCGGUACUUUUGACGGUACGGUACCAUAGCCUACCAAACAUAAUGGGUAUGGUAUUAGAUUUUGAAUUUACUUCAAUUUUGGUAAUAUCACUAUGCAGUAUGGCGCAGGUUUUGGACUUUUAAAGGGUAUUUUACCAUACUAGAACCGACCUAAACGUACGAUACGAUAUUCAGUUUUUUAAUUUAGCUCAAUUUUGGUGGCAGAGCUACGCCGUAUGGUACGGAUUUGAGACUUUUAUCGGUACCAUACCAUUCGGUUUUGGUUUUAGCUAAAUUUUGGUAUUGGUACUAUGCGGUAUGGUAACGGUUUGGUACCUGUACCAGUCUCAUCCCUAAAUUUGAUAUUAGAAAUUAUUGAAACAGUUACUUUUGUUUAUGUAUGAAUUUGGACAGAGAAUAUUGUUUUUGAUCUGUCAAUUGUUUUGGUUAUGAUUGUGUAAAAUUAAGGUUUUUAUAUUAUUAUUGUAUGGAGGUAGAAGUUUUUUUUUGUUUUUUGAAGGUCUUGUUUAUUGGUAAAUUUUGCUGGACAUAGCUGAAGCACAGAACAUAUCAUUGCCAUUUGCUUGCAGGGUGAAAAAACUGCCAAGCAGCAGAUGGAGUGCAUGUGCAGCUCAGGUGUUCGAUAAAAUGUUUGUACCAGAUCGUUGAAUAAAUUGGAUUCGUUGAACAAAAAAGGGCUCUAUAUUUUCCUUUGGUCAUCAGCUAAAGAUGGGAUGGUGGAUGGCAACAUGCUGCGAUGGCUGCAAUGGUGGAUAGCAGCGGUGCUGCGAGCAGCCUCGUAGUCGAUCCAUAGGUCAAUAAUUGAAAUGUAAACUUGGUUAUCAAGGAGAGCUCGUUAAGGAAAAGGAUGAAGAAAAUGAAAGGUUAUGUGGAAUUAUUACGGGGCUAUUGGCUGAAAAAGAAAAAGAUAACGUGGAUAAACAUACGAUGCUCAAUAGAAUGUCACAAAUUGAAGCUUUGUUAACAGCUAUUGUUCUAAGAUAGGCUAUAAACACUUGGUUUUUAAUGUUUCUAGGUUUAUCAUAUUAGGAUAAUUUCGGUUAUUUGAUAUUUUAGUUGGUAUUUUUUUAUAAGAAUACUUUAUAUGAUUUUGAAACAGGAAAAACUAUGACAGAAAUGUU
rnacentral:lncRNA from 1 species